GUGUUCAUAGAAAAGGAGAGACGGUUGGCAUCUCCCUUGAUAAGGAUGGGAACAGUCUUUAGACUAUUCCUUCACAUACAGUUAAGGUUAUCUGUCAUUGGUGGUUCUUAUCCAAAUUUUAA